rnacentral:lncRNA from 1 species
AGUAAGUCUCACGAGUUCGUUAUAAAAGGCAGUUCCCCUGCACAUGCUCUCUUGCCUGCUGUCAUGCAACGUGUCUUUGCUCCUCCUUCACCUUCCGCCAUGAUUGUGAGGCUUCCCCAGCCAUGUGGAAACAUAUUCGCAGAGCACCCACUAGGUGCCAGUAAAUGUAUGAGAAGUCCUGUGGAAUAAGACUGAAGUUGUCCUUGCCUUCAAGCAACUUGCAAUUGCCUAAGAACACAGUUUAAAACCACAAAACUAAGCUUCAUGAUGAAGGUAAAGAAUCCCAAGAGACUGAAGUUGAAGCUUUUAUGUCUUUUAUGACCUAGCCUUGGAAAUCACAUGCUGUCAUUUCUGCGAUCGGUCAUAACCAGUCCUGAUUCCAUGUUAGAGGAGACUACAUAAGGACACAGGUACCAGAAGCUGGAUCCACUGACCUGGAAUGCCUGGACUGAAGCAGGAGACUAACCAGCAUGGGCUACAUCAAAAAGGCUGCCAUCUACUUUCUGCUGGGUAGGGGCACCAGAGAGACUUGUCAGAAACUAGAAGGAAGGUAGAGUGCGAAAUCUGAGUGUUAAUUCCCUGGCUUCAUCAAAGGACACUGGUCUUCACAAGGAAACAGACUACAUGAUUCUCCUUUUGGGCUUCAGUAAAAACCCCCUCCUUUCAUCCCUUAGUCUAGGGAUGGUAAGAGGUCAGCAGCUAAGAAUUCUAGGUUCUUUGUGGUUUUCCCGUAUACAUGUCUUUGAUGAUAGCCCCUUUGGAAAUAAAUUCUCCUAGACUUUUUUUUAGGGUGAUUGGGUCAUUGUUUUUUCUCCUGGAACCCUGAGUCCUCAAAUCAACCCUAUCUGAAAUGUGCCAUUAUUGCUACAUUUUAUAAUAGAGGAAGACAGAUGGCUUAUAUAAUUUGAUGAAGAUCACAUGUUUUGUAAGAAGAGCUGGGAUUGGAACUGUAGCAGUCUAGCUUUUCAGAUCAUGCUCUUAAUCACCACAAUAAGUAUCAAUAAGUGUCAAUAAUCACUAUAAUAAGUGGCAUUGUAGCAUAAUGACACUCUACUUAGAGCAAUAGCUUAGUUCAAGUCAUCUUUUCCUAUGAAACUUUCCAUUUAUUUGACUAUUACUGUUUCAUAGAACCUACCCCUCAAGUUUAUUGAGGGUCAUACUUAAAUUUUCUAUGCUUAUGCUCUUUUUUAAUACUCACAGAAAGAGUGUACCUAUCUAGGGGGCAGAGACUACAGGUUCAGUUUUUUAACCCACGGCAAGUAGUCCUAUCCUGAGAACAUGGUACAAAACUUCUAAGUGCUGCUGUAUUUCACCAAGCUCCAGUUGAUAUCCAAAUUGGACAACUCCUGUGUGCCAGGACAAUGUGCUAGGCUUGCUUUAAAAUGAUACAUACAAAUAAGAUAAAGCAAAGAGACUUGGCUUUAACAUUCAGUAAAACAAUAAUGUGUUUCUUAAUAAUAAACAUUUGCACGUAAAUGCGUCCCAUUUUAAGAAAAAGAUACUUUACCUAUGCUGUUUGUAAGUUAUGUUUCCUUAUAAAUUCUAUUUUCUUAGCAACUCUCUCUAGUUUCAGAGAUGUCUUUCUACUUCCCCUUUGUUUCUCGUGGUGAAUAGCAAUAAAUCAGCUUCAUGCUUAUUGCCAUGAUGAUAAAUCUGCAUGAGUAUAAAAGGAAUUGAGGACAUGUACGUUAUAGAAUUGUACUGAUAUGUACUUUUUAAAUUAUUUAUUUAUUUAUUUAUUUUUUGAGGCAGAGUCUCACUCUGUCGCCCAGGCUGGAGUUCAGUGGCAUGAUUUUGGCUCACCGCAACCUCUACCUCCCGGGUUCAAGCAAUUCUCCUCCCUCAGCCUUCCAAGUAGCUGGGAUUACAGCAUCCACCACCACGCCUAGCUAAUUUUUGUAUUUUUAGAAGAGAAAGGGUUUCACUAUGUUGGCCAGGCUGGUCUUGAAUACCUGACCUCAGGUGAUCCACCCACCUUGGCCUCCCAAAGUGCUAGGAUUACAGGCGUGAGCCACUGCGUCCAGCCCUGAUAUGUACUUUAUAUGAACAUAUUCAUUCAUUUAAAAAUUAUUAUUGAAUACCUACUAGUUGCUUAUCAUUUUAUAAAGUAUAGGACAUAGAGCCUGCCGUCAGUGAACUUCUAAUCAUGUGGGAAAUGCAGACAAUAAACAAAUGAUGCAAAAUUUAUAUUUAACUUAUAAAUAUAAAAAAAGUAUGUUUUAGUGUAUAUAAUGUGUCAGUUUUUGAGUGUUAAAUUUGACAGUGAAUGAAAUUGACAUAGCAUACUUAUAGACAUCUGAUUGAACCUUUAUGAAAAAUUUGGAGUCUAGUGAAAAGAAGUGACUUGCUCAAAAUCACACAGCACAUGAAGAACAGAGCCUCUAUGAUGAAUUUCUUGACAGGUAGGCUAGAAAUCCUAUAUUUUGUUUUUUGAG